UCCGAAUUGGUGUAGUGGCUAACAUUUGACGCUCUCAAACUUCCUCGUUCAGAUGAAGAAGGAACCGUCAAGCCCGGGGUUCGAUUCCCCGAUUCGGAG